rnacentral:rRNA from 1 species
UACGUAGGGUGCAAGCGUUGUCCGGAAUUAUUGGGCGUAAAGAGCUCGUAGGCGGUGUGUCGCGUCGGUCGUGAAAACUUGGGGCUUAACCCUGAGCUUGCGGUCGAUACGGGCAUCACUGGAGUUCGGCAGGGGAGACUGGAAUUCCUGGUGUAGCGGUGGAAUGCGCAGAUAUCAGGAGGAACACCGGUGGCGAAGGCGGGUCUCUGGGCAGUAACUGACGCUGAGGAGCGAAAAGCGUGGGGGAGCGAACAGG